rnacentral:snRNA from 1 species
CUUGCUGAGGCGGGCGAUA